UACGUAGGGGGCGAGCGUUGUCCGGAAUUAUUGGGCGUAAAGCGCGCGCAGGCGGCCGGUUAAGUCAGAUGUGGAAGGCUGCGGCUCAACCGCAGAGCGGCAUCUGAAACUGGCCGGCUUGAGUGCAGGAGAGGGGAGCGGAAUUCCCGGUGUAGCGGUGGAAUGCGUAGAGAUCGGGAGGAACACCAGUGGCGAAGGCGGCUCUCUGGCCUGUAACUGACGCUGAGGCGCGAAAGCGUGGGGAGCGAACAGGAUUAGAAACCCUUGUAGUCC
rnacentral:rRNA from 1 species